AUUCUGUUUUGAUGAAUUAUGAAACUUAUCACAUGUCAGACUUCAGAGUUUCUUUCAAACAAAGGAAACAAUGAGAUUACAAGUUCAUAAAUCUGAGCAGAUG